rnacentral:rRNA from 1 species
UACAGAGGUCUCAAGCGUUGUUCGGAUUCAUUGGGCGUAAAGGGCGCGUAGGCGGCGGGGUAAGUCGGGUGUGAAAUCUCAGAGCUCAACUCUGAAAUGGCACUUGAUACUGCUCUGCUAGAGGACUGGAGAGGAGAUUGGAAUUCACGGUGUAGCAGUGAAAUGCGUAGAUAUCGUGAGAAAGACCGGUGGCGAAGGCGGAUCUCUGGACAGUUCCUGACGCUGAGGCGCGAAGGCCAGGGGAGCAAACGGG